GACGAACGCUGGCGGCGCGCCUAACACAUGCAAGUCGAACGGAGCUGAGAGAAGCUUGCUUUUCUUAGCUUAGUGGCGAACGGGUGAGUAACGCGUGAGUAACCUGCCCUGGAGUGGGGGACAACAGUUGGAAACGACUGCUAAUACCGCAUAAGCCCACGAUCCGGCAUCGGAUUGAGGGAAAAGGAUUUAUUCGCUUCAGGAUGGACUCGCGUCCAAUUAGCUAGUUGGUGAGGUAACGGCCCACCAAGGCGACGAUUGGUAGUCGGACUGAGAGGUUGAACGGCCACAUUGGGACUGAGACACGGCCCAGACUCCUACGGGAGGCAGCAGUGGGGGAUAUUGCACAAUGGGGGAAACCCUGAUGCAGCGACGCCGCGUGGAGGAAGAAGGUUUUCGGAUUGUAAACUCCUGUCGUUAGGGACGAUAAUGACGGUACCUAACAAGAAAGCACCGGCUAACUACGUG
rnacentral:rRNA from 1 species